UACAGAGGGUGCAAACGUUGUUCGGAAUUACUGGGCGUAAAGCGCGUGUAGGCUGUCUCGAAAGUCGGAUGUGAAAGCCCUGGGCUCAACCUAGGAAGUGCAUUCGAAACUUCGAGACUCGAGUCCUGGAGAGGAUCGCGGAAUUCUCGGUGUAGAGGUGAAAUUCGUAGAUAUCGAGAGGAACACCGGUGGCGAAGGCGGCGAUCUGGACAGUGACUGACGCUGAGACGCGAAAGCGUGGGGAGCAAACAGG
rnacentral:rRNA from 1 species